ACGAACGUUAGCGGUGUGACUUAGGCAUGCAAGUCGAGCGCGAAAGUCUUCGGACGAGUAAAGCGGCGAAAGGGUGAGUAACACGUAACCAACCUGCCCCAGAGAUCGGGAUAACCGCUGGAAACGGCGGGUAAGACCGAAUGGUCCCCUGUGCGGCAUCGCAUGGCGGGUAAACGGCGGCGUAAGCUGCUGUUCCGGGAGGGGGUUGCGGGCUAUCAGCUAGUUGGUGGGGUAACGGCCUACCAAGGCGAUGACGGCUACCGGGUCUGAGAGGACGGUCCGGCACACUGGGACUGAGACACUGCCCAGACUCCUACGGGAGGCUGCAGUCGUGAAUCUUCCGCAAUGGGCGAAAGCCUGACGGAGCGACACCGCGUGCAGGAUGAAGGCCUUCGGGUUGUAAACUGCUGUCAGGUUCUAGGAACCUCCAGGUGUGAAUAUCAGCUGGAGUGACCAAGACCAAAGGAAGC
rnacentral:rRNA from 1 species